rnacentral:rRNA from 1 species
CAGUCGCCACGGUAAAACAGAGGGUGCGAGCGUUAAUCGGAUUUACUGGGCGUAAAGCGUGCGUAGGCGGCUUUUUAAGUCGGAUGUGAAAUCCCUGAGCUUAACUUAGGAAUUGCAUUCGAUACUGGGAAGCUAGAGUAUGGGAGAGGAUGGUAGAAUUCCAGGUGUAGCGGUGAAAUGCGUAGAGAUCUGGAGGAAUACCGAUGGCGAAGGCAGCCAUCUGGCCUAAUACUGACGCUGAGGUACGAAAGCAUGGGGAGCAAACAGGAUUAGAUACCCCUGUAGUCCCUGUCUUUAUACA